CACCACAAAUGGGAUUCUGCCUCCUGGUCAUGAAUUAUCCCAUCUUUGCUAAUGCUCUGAUCUGUUUGCUUGCUUAUAUAAAAUGCAGCCCAUCCACAUCCACGUUUACAAGAAGGACCAGAAAAGAUGGCGCCAGCCAAGGAGUGUUCAUUUGCAUAAUCAGAUUAGGGUGAGGCAACCAGCAUUUCCUGCAUGCUAUCUAAACAUCAUACCUGAUUGAACCGAACUGUGAGCCCUAGAAAAUCAGACACUGCCUUCUCAAGCUGUACUACAAAAUCCAGCGUAACCGCCGCCAGCGGUCUUUCCUGCUCAGAGACCCGUCUUUCUCCAUAGAGAGAGCUGUUUCUCUUUCUCUUCUCAUCUUCCUAUUAAACUUCCACUCCUAUAUCUCUCGUGUGUGUUCAUGUCCUAAAUUUUCCUGGGACGAGAUGACAAACUCUGGGUGUAUACCCCAGACAACACAGCUGCUUCAU
rnacentral:lncRNA from 1 species